GGAAUCUCCGGCUUGUGGCGUGUUAGCCGUUCCCAUGGUUACAGUUGGAGGCGGGAUUUCUAGCAGCCUGGGCUUAAGGGGAUUCACACUGGAACGUGAGGUGGUGGCUGCAAGGGGUUUGUGGUUCUGAUUACAUCUGUAUUAAGAGGAUGUACGUGUCCUGGAAAACGAACUCAACAGUAUAUCCUUGUGAGAUAUGGGGGCCGGCCACCUCGGAAUUUAGGUUCCCGAGCCCUAGCCACUCCCGCGUUUCAGAAUUGCCCGCCUAAGAUAGAGCUGCAGACAGUGAGACUGAAGGCUGGGGUUCUCAACCUGAAAGGACCCUAAGGAGUUCAGUUGCCCAUCUCCUCUUUCAGCCUCUUUAAACGAGAAUGUGUUUUUGUUUUUGCUUUUUUAAGGGGUCAGUAAUCCUGAGCGCCGAAGAACUGAUGCUUUUGAACUGUGGUGUUGGAGAAGACUCUUGAGAGUCCCUUGGACUGCAAGAAGAUCCAACCAGUCCAUUCUGAAGGAGAUCAGCCCUGGGAUUUCUUUGGAAGGAAUGAUACUAAAGCUGCAACUCCAGUACUUUGGCCACCUCAUGCGAAGAGUUGACUCAUUGGAAAAGACUCUGAUGCUGGGAGGGAUUGGGGGCAGGAGGAGAAGGGGACGACAGAGGAUGAGAUGGCUGGAUGGCAUCACUGACUCGAUGGGCAUGAGUCUGAGUGAACUCCGGGAGUUGGUGAUGGACAGGGAGGCCUGGUGUGCUGCGAUUCAUGGGGUCACAAAGAGUCGGAUACGACUGAACGACUGAUCUGAUCUGAUCUGAUCUGAACCCUUUGAUGCCAUAGUUGGCAUGUAUAUUACAUCCACAUGUAUUGACAACACCAUCAGACAGUGUUUACAUUUUUGCUUCAGGUAAUAACAUGUAUUUUAAAGAAUCUAAGAGAAAAUUUGUCUAUUUUCAUCUAUUACUCUUUCUUUAUUCGGAAGUUCCAAGUUGCCGUGGGGAAUAGUUCAGGUUGAAGGAUUCCUUCUAGUAUUUUAGAGAAGGCCUGCUGCAAUGAGUCCCCUUAGUUUGUCUGAGAAAGUUUUAUUUUGACAUCAUUAUGGAAGGAUAUGUGUGCUAAAUAUGGACUUCUGGGCUGGCAAUUCUUUUCUUUUUUUUUUUUUUACAUUGCCACAUACCUUAUUUUUAAAAUUGAAAUAUAGUUGGUUUACAACAUUAUGUUGGUUUCAGGUGUACAGUGUAAUGUUCUUUCUUUUAGCACUUUACAGAUUUUAUACUAUUGCCUUCUCAGAACCUUGGUUUCUAAUAAAAAACCAAACAGUCCUUCCAAUUGUUCUUGCCAUGGACAUACAUAAAGGGAAUUGUUUUUCUGUCUACUUUCAAGAUUUUGUCUUUAUCUUAGUUGUCAGCAGUUUGAUUAUAAAGUGGAUAGGUUUGGUUUCCUUUGAGGUUAUUUUGUCUUACUGUAUAUUUAUGUUUUUCACCAAAUUUAUGUUUUCUUUGAUAAUGUCUACCUUUUUUUCUGCAUUUAUCUCUUUCCCAUUUCCUGUUAGGACUUAAAUAUGAUGAAUAGUAGACCUUUUGAUAUUGUCCCACAGUACCUUGAGGGUGAUUUUUUUCAAUCUUUUUUCCCUUCUGUAAUAGAAAUUGGAUAAAUUCUGUUGAUCUGUUUGCAAGUUCUCUGACUUUUUCUUCUGUCACCUUCACUGUGUUAUUGAGAUCAUCCCACGAAUUUCUUUGUUUAAAAUAUUGUAUUUUUUAGUUCUAAAAUACUCACUUUAAAAAAUAGUUUUUAUUUCCCUGCUAAGAAUAUCGAUCUUUUUGUUUAUUUCAAGAGUAUUUACCUUUGUCUCAUUGAACAUGAUGAUAAUAGUUGUUUAAAGGUCUGAAAAAGUUUCUAUAUCGGGAUAAUCUUGAGCUUGACCUCUGAUUGUCUUUUCCUUUGAGAAUUAGUCACAUUUCUGUGUAUUUUGUAUGUUGAGUAAUUUUAGAUUAUACCAUAAAC
ensembl:lncRNA